UCCACGCCGAGCGCCUCCGCG
rnacentral:misc_RNA from 1 species